rnacentral:rRNA from 1 species
UAAGGAAUAUUGGACAAUGGCCGCAAGGCUGAUCCAGCCAUGCCGCGUGCAGGAUGAAGGUGCUCUGCAUUGUAAACUGCUUUUGUUCGGGAAUAAACCCCUCUACGUGUAGAGGGCUGAAUGUACCGAAAGAAUAAGGGUCGGCUAACUUCGUGCCAGCAGCCGCGGUAAUACGAAGGACCCGAGCGUUAUCCGGAUUUAUUGGGUUUAAAGGGUGCGUAGGCGGAUUAUUAAGUCAGUGGUGAAAGCCUUCAGCUUAACUGAAGAAUUGCCAUUGAUACUGAUGAUCUUGAGUAUGAUUGAGGUGGGCGGAAUGUGUCAUGUAGCGGUGAAAUGCUUAGAUAUGACACAGAACACCGAUUGCGAAGGCAGCUCACUAAGCCAUAACUGACGCUGAUGCACGAAAGCGUGGGGAGCAAACAG